GCAUUGUUUUAAAGGGUUUUAUCCAGCAAACCGCAACGCAGCCGGCAGCCGGGGAGGAAAUAGCGUGAGUUAACAGGAAGCUGCGAGCCAACAGCAACAGUAACAAUAUUACAGACAGAAUGAAGAGAUUGAAACAUUUUAGAAUCCCCGUGGAUCAGGCUACUUGAGAAUGAUAAGGUUCCUGCAGCUUUUUCUCAUCCAAUGCUUUCUUCUAAGCUGGGGCCGCGGGGCCUCGGUAAGCGUUAUUCAGAAGAAACUCCUGAUAAUUCCUGAAGGCGAUCCGGCCGCAAUUACCUGCAGCUACAACGAUUCAUCUUACAUAACCUUAUUUUGGUACCGGCAAAGGGCUGGACAGGCCAUUACGGUCAUCGGUUACUCUGCAGAACAGGGUCCGGGCUCAGGAGUGGUCAUCACCCAACAUCAAAAGCAUCUUUUGGUGACGGUCGGUGACUCCACCGAGAUGACUUGUCACCAAGAUGAUGAUACCUAUUUGAACAUGUUUUGGUACCAACACAAACCAGGAGAAGGCAUGAAGCUCAUGGUCUGGUUACCAGAUGUUAGGAAAGAUAACGCGAUGGAGGACGACUACGGAAAAUCCUGGGAAAUCGAGAGAAGCGACGUCCAGAAUUCAGUGCUGCGCCUGAAAUCAUCCCGGCUACAGGACGCAGCUGUGUAUUUCUGCGCAGCGAGUUCACACAGACACGGGUGCCAAGGAAAUGUCUGGCACAGAACCUCAGCACCCCGAGCCACAGCCGGAGAAAACGCAGUUCUCAAAUGGACCUGCAGGGGGCAUACUUUGUGAACCAGACACUGCAACCAUUAU